AGGCCAAGGACUGCCUGGAGUUGUCCACCUGUUGCGGUGGCUCCUGUUUGGCUUACUCAAUUUUGACGGAAGGAGGGCUAUGUAACUCCAGUACCGAUUGACAUACCCACAUGAAGGGUGGUAGGUGAGGAAGGAUGUUGUAAACUGCGCGCAGUUUCCAGGCGAGAACAGUAGUGUCCCAGAUGUAGCAGUUUGUUUUGUAGCAACUUCGUUUCUCUAUUUUGCAUUAGUUGCCCUGUGAAGUGAACAAGGUCUGUGUGUGGUUCUGGCUGAAUACAUACCUUCUAGAGUACUAUGUAUCUAAAGUUUGUUGUUACCCGUGAACAUUUCUGUUAAUCAAAUCCACAAUGUGUCAUUGUUUCAAAA